rnacentral:rRNA from 1 species
UAGGGAAUCUUCGGCAAUGGACGAAAGUCUGACCGAGCAACGCCGCGUGAGUGAAGAAGGUUUUCGGAUCGUAAAACUCUGUUGGUAGAGAAGAACGUUGGUGAGNGUGGAAAGCUCAUCAAGUGACGGUAACUACCCAGAAAGGGCGGCUAACUACGUGCCAC